AACUUUCAGCAACGGAUCUCUUGGCUCUCGCAUCGAUGAAGAACGCAGCGAAAUGCGAUACGUAAUGUGAAUUGCAGAAUUCUGUGAAUCAUCGAAUCUUUGAACGCACCUUGCGCCCCUUGGAAUUCCGAGGGGCACACCCGUUUGAGUGUCGUGAACAUCCUUCAACCUUUCUUGGUUUCUUAACCGGGGAAGGCUUGGACUUUGGGGGUCUUUCAUUGCUGGCCUCUUUGAAGCCAGCUCCUCCUAAAUGGAUUAGUGUGGUCUGCUUUGCCGAUCCUUGACGUGAUAAGAUGUUUCUACGUCUUGGGUUUCGCACUGUCGCUUUAGACCCCGCUUCUAACCGUCUUGCAUUCAAGACAGAGUUUUAAACCUUGACCUCAAAUCGGGUGAGACUACCCGCUGAACUUAAGCAUAUCAAUAAGCGGAGGCU
rnacentral:misc_RNA from 1 species